GUCAUCAGUCAUCAUUUUCAAGCAAACCUUCAACCAGAAAAGCGAUAAAAUUUUAUUAUAAAAAAUUUAAAAAAGUAACAAAUAAAAGAUGUGCUGGUUAGGCUGGGCUGUGGCGUUCUCUCUGCUGUCCUACAUGUUUAUGAUACCACAAGGAGCGGUGCAAACCCCACAUUAACGUUUUUCGACAACCUUAAAGAUUUGUCUAUCACCAACAUUAUUGGCUACUUUAUUUAUAACUGUUUACUAAAGGACCUGAACACGCCUUUACCAGUAUAUAUUUUAAAAAAUCGAUAAAAAGAGUAAAAUGUAAAAUGUAAAAUAUUACCAACAUAAAAAUAAAUGUUCGUGAAUUCACUAAGACUUUCACUACGAUUAUCCUAAACACAUGAACACAUGUAAAUGAUAAGUUGAUAUAAGAUAAAAUAUCCAAUCAAUGCACCAACAAAUUGUACAUUCGUUUUUUACGCAACAGGAGCGCUCCCAUGCGGCAAUUACAGAAUAUUUUCCACGUUGCGGCCGCUUGUCCUUUGUUCACAAAUAAAUUAUAGAGGUGCAUCCACAUGCGACGGUCGCGUCGGCGACAGAUCGCACCAAUUUGAAUAUUAAUAGUUGCAACGGCGCGUGAAAAUGACGCUGGGAGAUACAUGUUUACAACUGGCUGGAAACGACACAGAGGAAUGACGAAAUUCUAGAAUAGUGUGAGAUACGUAAAUAAGCCGCAACAUUGCCACUUGUACCCGGCCGACGAAGCGCGACGACAAUGUGACCGCGCCCUUAGACCCACUUCGUCCGAUGCAUAAAUCAAACGCUAAUAAAUAUCAUACGUACUCGUUUCCGGCACAGCUUUCAAUGGUGUCGAUAUAAGGGUUAAAUAUAUACGCAACUUGGCACCUUAGCACCAUAUGUGAAGCGCCUACUUCUAUCUCAUCUGAGCGUUCCUCGUUACUUACCCAGCCGUUGAGCGUCAGAGCCCAGGAUCCGCUGCACUCCAAAGAGGCGCCUAUCUAAAUAUGUAUAAAGUUUGCGACAUCAGAUCUUCUUCUGUUGCUCCUAGGCGUGCGUCAGUCGUCAGUGCGAUUAAUUGCAAGCCCCAAACAGAACAGGAGCUCUUUGAGAAGGCUUGACGUGCGAAAGAUUUAACUAUCGUCUGGAUGCGGCACCUUAUUAUAUUUCCUCAGUAAAGUAUACCUUAGGAUCAUAAAUCGUUUGAGAAUUCUACUGGAACUAUUAUAAAAAUUCCUAGCAUAUUUAGAAAUUUACAUAAGUCUUUAAAGAAAGAUGAUUUUAUUACGAAUUCGAAAAACGAAUCGUACAUACUAAUUCGAUGCAGCCCCUAAACCUUUGUCAAAUUUGUUGCUUGUACUUAUCCAGUAGUAGUAAAUAAACGUUUAAUUUAUCUAUCUUUAUCUACCUAAAUACUUUGUA